rnacentral:lncRNA from 1 species
GAAAAAAGGAAGAGGCUGAAAAGUGAUAAGAGGAAGAACUGGUUACAAGCAGAGUCACAGAAAACAUCACUAGAGAGAGGAGGCAUCAGAAAAGGUAAGCGGAAACAUUUACCACAUUAUCAAUACCCAUUUAGAAAUAAAAUCUAUCAAAGUAACUCAUUUGUAGUAAUACUUGAAUACGUGAAUCCUUUUAUUAAACCAGUGAUUGACAGGGGCCCUGAGCAGAGAACAGCUCCUGUACAGUCUGCUGAGCUGCAGUGCAGUUAUCUGUCAGGGGACCAGUGAGAACCUCAGGGGAGAGAAUUAUUCAAAUGACCUAAUGUGCAAUAGGUGAACAUGCAACAUCCUGUGUGAACAUCUGCAUCGCGCUGUUUCUGGUCCAGCGUGACCAAUUUAACUUCCUGUGUGUUCACUGCACUUCUGUGCCACGGACGGGUGUGAGGCACAGACACACGGUCGCGCUCGGCAAAUCAGGAUGCUCCUUCUCUGGCUGCUCGUGCUCUGUGGGAGAAUCAACACAGGUACACAGGUACAAGUUCUGACCCGAAGAUGAAACAGACAGCCACAAUGAACUGCACUUUUUCUGCUCAGGGAAAGUCCUGGUCAUGCUCAAAUGGAAGUAAUUACAAAAACAAUGGAGGACACAAAACUUUGACCAUUAACCUGUCGGCUGAGCAAAAUGGUACAAACGUCACCUGUAGGGUCAAUUUAACAGCAGACAUUAAAGCAGAGAAAUCAGACCCUCUGACCCUGACCACAACCCUGACUUCUGACCUGCAAAACUGCACCAGAAAUGAAACACAACCUACGAGCGACUGUACAGCAAAACAUCCAAACAAACCACUAAAUGAAAGCAACUGUGCUGGAAAACCAAGCUGGUCAGAAGCUUCAAUGAUGAUGUUGUUAGAAACUGUCCAAAAACCGGAGGUGAUUUCUGCAUUUUUAAUUGGCUUCCUUCUUGCAACAUUGGUUUCAACAGUCGUUUGCUGUAUGAAGAGAAAAUCCCACAGAAAAAAACUGAAGCGCUAUAGAAAUCUUUCUGAUGCUCUGGAGAUGACUUAUGACCCGGCGGACGCAGGACCAGGAACCAGCGCAGCCGUGAACUCAGAUGUGGAUUAUUCCACCAUCAAAUUCUCUGCAGGGAGAGCAAAGAAGUUGGGGGAGACGACUGAGACGGAGUACGCUGAAAUUAAAAGGGAGGAGACGGUGCAGGAGGAGGAUGAGGGGGGCAGCCAGGGGGAGGGGGCGAUCCUGGUGGAGGGGGAGGUGGAGGCAGAGAGCGGUGGAAUGAUGGAAGACGAGGAUGCGGCGCUCUGUCCAGAUGUGGAGGUUGCAGUUAGUGAGAACGAGGCGCAGUGUGGAGUAAACAAUGUGCAGAGUCACUUCAGUGACUAAAACAGAAAGCAAGUCAUGUCCUGUUCAAGGUGUCACUUCAGAUAAAACACAGUGGUGUAUUUCAACUUCUCUUACUGUGAGAGGAAGUUUAAAACGAAAUCAAAAUUCAUACUAAAGCAGCCAGAAGGAAAAGGUUUUAAGCAGACUUUUGUAUUGUUUUCAGAAGAACAUGAAGUAAUUUUCUAGAAAUCACAGAAACACUUGAAUGUGUGGCAAGUGGGAAAAUUGUAAGUAAAGUCUGAAAAUGCAUGUGAAUAUCAUCUGUUCUUUCUUGUUAUAUUAUUUUUAGAUAUUGUGUAAUAAACAAAUUGGCCACAUUAAAUAAUUCA